rnacentral:rRNA from 1 species
UGGGGAAUAUUGGACAAUGGGCGCAAGCCUGAUCCAGCCAUGCCGCGUGUGUGAAGAAGGCCUUAUGGUUGUAAAGCACUUUAAGCGAGGAGGAGGCUACUGAAGUUAAUACCUUCAGAUAGUGGACGUUACUCGCAGAAUAAGCACCGGCUAACUCUGUGCCAGCAGCCGCGGUAAUACAGAGGGUGCAAGCGUUAAUCGGAUUUACUGGGCGUAAAGCGCGCGUAGGCGGCUAAUUAAGUCAAAUGUGAAAUCCCCGAGCUUAACUUGGGAAUUGCAUUCGAUACUGGUUAGCUAGAGUGUGGGAGAGGAUGGUAGAAUUCCAGGUGUAGCGGUGAAAUGCGUAGAGAUCUGGAGGAAUACCGAUGGCGAAGGCAGCCAUCUGGCCUAACACUGACGCUGAGGUGCGAAAGCAUGGGGAGCAAACAGGAUUAGAUACCCUGGUAGUCCAUGCCGUAAACGAUGUCUACUAGCCGUUGGGGCCUUUGAGGCUUUAGUGGUCGCAGUCUAAAGCGAUAAGUAGACCGUCCU